rnacentral:rRNA from 1 species
AAAGCAUUAUCUGGUGUUGAAGGCCCUGCAAAGCAGCAUCGCGGUGGCGGAGCGUCGUUUGCGACGCCCAACACACAAAACAAGCGGUGAAUGCUUUGGGGUGGGGUGACUGCGUACCUUUUGUAUAAUGGGUCAGCGACUUAUAUUCUGUAGCAAGGUUAACCGAAUAGGGGAGCCGGAGGGAAACCGAGUCUUAAUUGGGCGUUAAGUUGCAGGGUAUAGACCCGAAACCCGGUGAUCUAGCCAUGGGCAGGUUGAAGGUUGGGUAACACUAACUGGAGGACCGAACCGACUAAUGUUGAAAAAUUAGCGGAUGACCUGUGGCUGGGGGUGAAAGGCCAAUCAAACCGGGAGAUAGCUGGUUCUCCCCGAAAGCUAUUUAGGUAGCGCCUCGUGAAUUCAUCUCCGGGGGUAGAGCACUGUUUCGGCUAGGGGGCCAUCCCGGCUUACCAACCCGAUGCAAACUGCGAAUACCGGAGAAUGUUAUCACGGGAGACACACGGCGGGUGCUAACGUCCGUCGUGAAGAGGGAAACAACCCAGACCGCCAGCUAAGGUCCCAAAGUCAUGGUUAAGUGGGAAACGAUGUGGGAAGGCCCAGACAGCCAGGAUGUUGGCUUAGAAGCAGCCAUCAUUUAAAGAAAGCGUAAUAGCUCACUGGUCGAGUCGGCCUGCGCGGAAGAUGUAACGGGGCUAAACCAUGCACCGAAGCUGCGGCAGCGAACGUAUCACCCAAGACAACUUUACGGAGUUGACGAUUGACGGAGCGAAGCGACGUCAAAGCGUUCAUUAAAGUCGAGUUGGCUUAGGGAUACGUUCGUUGGGUAGGGGAGCGUUCUGUAAGCCUGUGAAGGUGUGUCGUGAGGC